GCUCUCCGGUGUCGGAAGGCAAAAUGUAUGCCACUUUUUGUGGUAGUACAAGCCCCAGUAUCUGGCAUUUUCUUUCUACUAUAAUUGGUAGUUGUUUGCUAAAAGCUUAGCACUCCACGUGCAGGUGUAACGUCGGGGCGCAAAAUCACUUGUAUACGACUUGAAUACUGGUCAGGGGGUUGUAAACAGUAGAGCAGCUCUUCGCUGCGAUCUGCUGAGACUUAGCCCUUGAUCGGAUGAUUUGUCUUUUUUAUAUACUAUAGACAUGUUUAUCCAAGUGCCGUAGGCCAGAGUGCAUUGUCAAAAGUAGACCCAGGCAAUCAAAUUUCACCAGGCAUUUUUGGUUUAUGAGUCUGUGACGAUCCGAUUAAAAAUUGCCUCAGGCAAAGUAGACCAAAGUGCAAUUGACCAAGUGUCGUAGGGUAAUAGGGUUCCCCCAGGCAAUAAUUAUCUACUCAAGUAUACUCAAGUAAAAAUCAUUUACUCAAGUAUAAAAUCAUUUACUCAAUUAUACUCAAGUAAAAGGUAUGUAUAUAAUAUAGGGUUCCCCCAGGCAAUCAUUAUCUACUCAAUUAUACUCAAGUAAAAGGUAUGUACAUGAUAAACUACAAUUUAUAAAAAACUUAAAUAAUUGUUUUCUAUAGACUCAAGUGUGUUUUCUUAGACUCAAAUUUUUGCCAAAGCAUUAAAAAAAGAUUACGACACCCCCGAUUCCCAGGACGUCUCCGUUCCAAGUACUAAGGAAGCCCAGCGUUGCUUAACUUGCCAGAUCGGACGGGAUGGCGUGCUUUCAACGCGGUAUGGUCGUAAUCACUGUGUUUUCAAUUUCUCAAUAUUUAAGAAAAAAUUCUCUAAGGCAAAGUGGGCGGGGCUAUUUGUUGUUCGCUGUUCGCGGGAAUGGUUUAAGGCAAAAAGAAAAUGGGCAAUUAUAAAAAUGUGUGGGAGGAAAAUUAGGAUUAAAAAAAUUUUUUUGAAGAAUUAAAUUUUUUAAAAAAAAUAAAGCUUAUAAUAAUAAACUUUAAUCUUUUUUUAAAUUUAAAGUUUAUUAUUAUAAGCUUUAUUUUUUUAAAAAAUUUACUGUUAUUAUUAUAUUAAGCUUUAUUAUCAGUUUAUUUUAAAGCAGCUUUAUUCUAAAUCUGAUAAUAAUCAUAAGCUUUAUAAUCCUAAUUUUUCUCCAGCUGCAAUAUUUAUUUGGCUCCAGACAAUUGUCAGGAAUUGCCAUUGAUAACUUUUGUGAAAGUGCCGCUGAUAAAUUGUAAAUAAUUUAGAUAUCUUUUGCAAAGGAAAUUAAAUAUAUAAUAAGCUGUCAUUAAUUUUUAAUUUCAGAUUAUUUUCGAGAUUUUAUUCCAAAAUUAUCAAUAUAAUCAAUAUUAAUGACAGCUUAAUUACCCGCAGACUGGGUAAUUCCAGCUCUGCUAACUACCUAAAUAAAAGAUAUCUGGUUGAUCCUGCCUGAACUGAUGUGUUCAUUUCAAAGAUUAAGCCAUGCAUGUAUAAGUUUAAUCGUUUUAACGAGAAACCGCGUACGGCUCAUUAGA
rnacentral:misc_RNA from 1 species